ACCUGGCUGACUCAGUUGGUAGAGCACGCGACUCUUGAUCUUGGGGUCGUGAGUUCAAGCCCCGUGUUAGGUG
rnacentral:tRNA from 1 species